AUUCAACCCCCAGUUAUUUUAUUCCUCAAUACUUUAAUUCCUCAACUGUUAUGGAAUUUGGCACAAACGUCAUAUUCAUUCAUGCGACUUUUAACCGGAAUUAAUGCUGAAAUUUUAUUACCCAAUCAAGAUUGGACUUCGGGAAAAUUAAGAUUAGUUGCUAGUUUGAUCAUUGAAACUGAAAAUAUACAAACUUCAAUCGAUUUAGCAACCAGUUUUUCACCCCCUCCUUUGAUUAAUUCUGAAGCUUAUCUUCAAUCUAAUGACUGUUCUUUUUGUCAGCAUCCUGUAGAAUCUCAAUCUUUCUUACAACAAAUUAUUAAUCACCUUCAGGAUAAUUUUAAUCAGAUUAAUUUCUUGACUCAUCCUAUUAAAGCUCAACUUCUCUAUCCUAAAAGUCAAUGGCAACCUAGUCAAAUCAAUAUAGAAAUCGGAUUGGAAUUUAUUCCCGAUCCUAAAACCUCAGAAGUCAGUCCUUUUAAUUAUUAUUUAGAACCCGAUCAUAUAGAAGAAGAUUUAUUCCCCAAUACACCAAUUCAAGAUGUUGAAUAUUCGAUUUUAGCUUCCGUUUCUCAAGCUUCAUUAUUAACCACACAAAUUCGACUCACCGAUCCCGAUAUUAUUCAACCUUAUAUUCACAGCCAAAUUCAACACUAUUGGUCACCUUGGCUUAAACAAAAGAAAAAUUUACAACAAGUCAAUCAACAACCAUCCCCUAAUCUUAACCCUUCUCCAGAACCUUUAUCAACCCUUGAUUCUCCAACUGAAUCGUUGUAUUUAAUCGAGUUAAUUCAAAUUGCUGAUGAGUUAGUCGAUGUGAUUUACAGCCCCAAAUCUCCUUCUAGUCUAAUUCAUCUUCAACCCGAAAUCCCCUUAAUAGAAUUAUCCCUAAGAUUAUUAUGGCAAAUGGUUAAAAGCAGUUACAAUGUUAUGCAAAUGCUCAGUGGAAUUAAAGCUAAAGUCUUGCAACCUGGAUUAGUUUGGCAAACCGGAACAUUGAGAUUAUUAGCGGUUUUAAAUGCAGAAUUUUUAAGCGAUGCUUGGGAAGUCGAUAUUGCCAGUAGCCAACCUCUAAAAUUCGACUUACACCCCAUCGUCCCUGAAUCUAUUAUUCAAUCCGAUGGGAGCGAAUGGUGUCGAUUUCCUCAAUCCCUGGAAAUUUUAAAGAUGCAAAUCAUCAAUUUAUUAGAAACUAUUCCCGAACUCAAAAGCUGGGUGAAAGGAGUCAAAGUAGAUUGGGGAAAUUCUAAUCAAGAUUUAGAAUUAUCUAUUAAUUGGCAAUCGGGAUUCGCUCAACUCAGUCUUGAUUUUGAGUGGAUUCCUGAUCAGACCAAUUUCCCAGAAUCAGAUCACUUGUCUUCUUUAUAGAUAUUAUCUCAAUGUAUAUUUACGCUUUUUUGAAAACACCAGCAUCACCCCUCAAACUUCCUCAAGGAAUUAAGGGUUGUUUAGAAAUUAUCAAUUCUCAAGGAUUAUCUGCUCUUGUUGAACCCGAUUUACAAGCAGAAGAUCUUCCCGAUACCGAUGAGCAGUUAAUGCAAUCCGUUGUCAUUCAUGAUCAGAUCACCUGUGCAGUUUUUUACCAAACUUCCCUGUUACCCGUCCGUUUCGGAACCUGUUUUCGUUCCGAGACAGCCCUUUUUGAGCAUUUAGCCCUAAAUCAACAAAACUACAUCCAAAAAUUAGAACAACUUCAAGGAAAAGCCGAGUAUUGCUUGCAGGGAGUUCCCCUUGACCCCUCCCAAAAUCAACCCAAUCUACCCAACCCCACAGAUUCACCCUCACUACGAGGGCGAGACUACUUUUUAGCCAAGAAACAAUUACACCAGCGUCAAUUAGAACAUCAGCAGCAACAAAGCCAACAAUGGCAACAGCUAAUUGAGAUUAUUGGCCAGACCUAUCCAGAAACUCUUCUUGCCGAUAGUCAACCCAACCGAGAACGAAUCUAUAUAUUGAUACCCCAGACUAACGAGAUCCAACUCCAACAACAACUCAACCAUUGGCACAGCCAAUACACUCAUUGGCAGUUAAGUCUUGGACAGGCUCUACCCCCGUACCAUUUUUUAUAAUUGGCCCUCUGUUUGGCCAGUCCCAAACAGAAUUUUGUGCCACCGUUCCAUCUCACGAGAGAGACUAACAGCUACAACCUAUAUAGCGCAAGCCUUUCAAGAAUCCGCANGCACCUGGACAGAAAGACCCUAUGAAGCUUUACUGUAUCCUGGAAUUGGGUUCGGGCUUUGCUUGCGCAGUAUAGGUGGGAGGCGUUGAAGUUAUCCUUGUGGGGAUAAUGGAGCCAUCGGUGAGAUACCACUCUAGUAGAGCUAGAAUUCUAACUAUUACCCGUGAAUCCGGGUAGAAGACAGUUUCAGGGGGGCAGUUUGACUGGGGCGGUCGCCUCCUAAAAGGUAACGGAGGCGCGCAAAGGUUCCCUCAGAAUGGUUGGAAAUCAUUCGCAGAGUGUAAAGGCAGAAGGGAGCUUGACUGUGAGACCUACAAGUCGAACAGGGUGGAAACACGGCCUUAGUGAUCCGACGGUACUGCGUGGAAAGGCCGUCGCUCAACGGAUAAAAGUUACUCUAGGGAUAACAGGCUGAUCUCCCCCAAGAGUUCACAUCGACGGGGAGGUUUGGCACCUCGAUGUCGGCUCAUCGCAACCUGGGGCGGAAGUACGUCCCAAGGGUUGGGCUGUUCGCCCAUUAAAGCGGUACGUGAGCUGGGUUCAGAACGUCGUGAGACAGUUCGGUCCAUAUCCGGUGCAGGCGUAAGAGCAUUGAGAGGAGCCUUCCCUAGUACGAGAGGACCGGGAAGGACGCACCGCUGGUGUACCUGUUAUCGUGCCAACGGUAAACGCAGGGUAGCCAUGUGCGGAGUGGAUAACCGCUGAAAGCAUCUAAGUGGGAAGCCCACCUCAAGAUGAUUGCUCUCACCACUUUUUGUGGGUAAGGUCACGGGCAGAACACCCGUUUAUAGGUGUUAGGUGGAAGUUCAGUGAUGAAUGCAGCCGAGACACACUAACAGACCGAGGGCUUGACCU
rnacentral:rRNA from 1 species